rnacentral:rRNA from 1 species
GACGAACGCUGGCGGCGCGCCUAACACAUGCAAGUCGAACGGAGCGCACUGUGUGAAGCUCUUCGGAGCGGAACUUUGUGUUGCUUAGUGGCGAACGGGUGAGUAACACGUGAAUAACCUACCUCUGAGUGGGGGACAACAUUUGGAAACAGAUGCUAAUACCGCAUAAGACCACGGUGUCGCAUGGCACAGUGGCCAAAGGAGCAAUUCGCUCGGAGAUGGAUUCGCGCCCGAUUAGCUAGAUGGCGGGGUAACGGCCCACCAUGGCAACGAUCGGUAGCCGGACUGAGAGGUUGAACGGCCACAUUGGGACUGAGACACGGCCCAGACUCCUACGGGAGGCAGCAGUGGGGAAUAUUGCACAAUGGGCGAAAGCCUGAUGCAGCGACGCCGCGUGAGGGAAGAAGGUUUUCGGAUUGUAAACCUCUGUCUUCGGGGACGAUAAUGACGGUACCCGAGGAGGAAGCCACGGCUAACUACGUGCCAGCAGCCGCAGUAACAC